GGCCUGUGAGGAGGGAAAGCGUGGGCUGUCAACCUCGCUUUAAGGAUUAUUCCAUCCAGUACAAAGUUUGGUCCGGAGGGUUCUUUCCUUAGGUCCACAUCCUCUCAAAAAUAAGACCUUUCCUGUCAGCGUUUCUCGUGGGCUAAUGAGAGCUUUAAGCUCUCUUUCCAUUAAAUGUUGGGUUACAGGCAACCAGGACUCGACAGAGUUUUAGACAUUGGGGCAAAACUGGCCUGAAGUCACCUUUAGAGCACAGGACAGGGAAGGCUGAUGAAGAAAGCGAGGCGACAAGAGCACCAGAGCUGCUGUCUCUGCUCUCAGGAACUUGCUGAGGAGCCGCCACUGAGAGGACACCACCCACGGGCGUUUAGAACUCAGCUCUUACUGUCUACAAGGUUGUUUUUAAUUAUAACAAGGUGACAGAAGGUUUGAACAGCGGAACCGGGCAUCUCCUCUUCUGCUCCUCACUCUCAGCAGAAACCGAGGCUCCCCCCGCCUUUUCCCUGACUGGGUCGCUGCCUUUCCCAUCCCCAUCCUCCCCCACCUCGGAGAUAAGAUUCCUUGGUGGAUUAAUCGGGUGCUGAUUCUGUAAACUGGGGAGGGACCCAUGGUCUCCUAGCCUCACCUCCCUCACCUAAACCAGGCCAGGUGAAAUCUUAAUUAGCUCCUCUAGGUUACCCACUGAGGUUGUCUCGUAAAGGGGGCUUCUUUCGAGAGUCCGUGUGGAAACGCAGGCAGCAGACAUCCAGGAGCCUGGGCCGGGCAUCCGGAGACCGGCACCCAGCGUGGGCACUAGGGGAUUGAUGGAGACUCAACACCCUCUGCCCCGUGGCUGCUGAGCAGCAGGAGUCCCCCGAGCCCUGGUCCGCUGUCAGCUCCCCUGUCCACGCUUGCUUCCCUGCUUGUCUUUCCACUUCUGUUCUUGCUCUCUGCCUAACUCUCUCCAGGUCUCAGAGUUAAACUCCAGAGACAGAAAAUGCAAUUAGUCUACUUGGUCAUUGCCAUCCCUAUUGGACGAAGUUCUAGCACCAGUCCAGUUUAUUGGACUAAGCCAGCCUAUAAAUCUGCCCUUGGCACAGUUGCCCUUCCCUGUCUAAUCAGCAAUAGCCAGGGCAUCAGGUCAUGUGGCACAAAUCAUGGCCGUUUGCAGGUAAAGAUUGACCUUUCCUCAGGAGGGGGUGGGGCACUUCCCUCUGCCGUGAGCAGGACAAAGCAGUGGCGUGGGCUCGGCUGUCAGUGCUCUCUUCCUGCUCUGAAGGUCUCUUGCACUACGAUACUUAAAUUAAAAUCCUCCAAGGAGGCUUAAUAUGUGUAAUUUCUAUUUCUCAAACUGUAUAUGCAUUUCCUGGGCCAUUAGUUAAUCCGAUUGCUCCCUAAUGGGCGGUCUAGCUGAGAAGGAGCAGGAUGCCAGGGCAGAGGGAAGAGAAGAGAAGGGUCCAGGGAAGGGGCAGGGGAGAAGGCAGCCGCCUGUCCCCUAACUGGCUUUACUGUUUCACACUGGCCUCCCCUGCCCAGCGGCUUUCUCAAAAUAGCUCUAAUAAAUUAAGUUGAGAGGGAAAGUAAUCCGUGGCUGAGAAUGACCAGCUGCCCGGGAGGAGAGAAGUGAGCCAGCAAGGUGGGUACAUCUUGGCCCUGUCACCUGUGAACUGCUGUCACCUGAUCCCAUUAAGGCAUACCCCCCAAACUCCCAGAGUAUGCACAGAAUGACCCCUAAGCCAUAAGCAGGAGGAUUCAAGUACCUGUCUCUGAAAAAGCAGCCUUGGAACCCACAGAAGGCUCUGGCACCAACACUUGUUUUCCCAGUGAGCAGUUGGUCUCGUGCCCUGAGAGACUGAGGGAAAGCAAAACUGCCUCCCAUUGGGGAAUUCACUACGGGCAUUCCCUCUAAUCUGACUCUCCAUUGGCCUGUACGCCUGUGUCUUUGUCACUGAUUCUCCUGAGAAAGGAGCGAUUGACCUCGUCUUGUGAGCUCCUGGAGCUGUGGCUCUGCCGAGCCUUUGGCAGCUGGUCCACCCUUAGCAGCCCUUCUCUUCCUAGUUUACAAACCCUCCAUCUCACCACCAGCCUGGGAUUUGUAGGUGGAGUAAACGAUGGGUGAACCUGUCCAACAUCCAGAAGCUCCAGCUAGAAGCAAACACUGGUUUCCUCAUUUGGUGCCCAGAAUUAGCUGCCCCCUCCCACCAGUGCCUGGCUCUGCUGGGUUGGCUGGUGAGGGUGACAGUGGGGGUUGGGCGAGGGCAGAAUAAUGACCUGAUUGAAGUUAAAAAAUUAUUCAGGAGAUAAUCUAGGAUAAAAACCAAGCGAUUCCUUAGCCUACAUGUUCAAAGAAGGGAACCAACAUUUUCUGGGUGUCCACCAUGUGCUAGACACUUUACAGACAACAAGUUUGUUUACAAGGAGGCAGUUUGAUGUAUCAAGGAAAUGACAACAAUGUUGUAAUUAACAUGUACUUAGCGUUAACCAUGUGCUAGAGAUAUGCAUGACACCUUAUAACACACCACGUGAGAGGUAGGUACUGUUAUUUUUCCCAUUCCAUAGAUGAGCAAAUUGAGGCUCCAAGAGAAUAAGGAAGGGCCCAAGGCCUCUUAAGUGGCAAAGCCCAAUCUGAAUGUCAGACUCCGAGGUUCAAGGUCUUAACAACCAAAGUACACACUGUGGUAUCAGGAAAUCUGUCUGUUUUACCUUGAGCAAGUCACCUAACUUCUGAGUUUCAGUUUCCCCAUUUGACAAUUGAGAAUGAACUAAGAUUUCUCUUGCAAGUUGUUGUGAGCAUCUGCUGAAUUAAGAUAUGCAAAAUUCUUUGUAAGGUGGUAUAUAUUAUAUAUUUUAUUGAGCACCUACAAUAAAAUCAAUCAACAAACAUUUACAGAGCAGGCACUCUGUCCAAAGCAUACUGCAAGGACUGUGAAAUACAGAAGGAUUUCUAAAAUCAUGUUUUCUCCCUCAAGAAAGGAAACAAGGCAGGAUAAGACAGUCCUCUAGUACGCAGCACAAACUGUAGGUGGCGUGAGAGCUCAGGAGAGAGGAGAGCAUGGUGGACCCACGAGGCCAGUCCUGGGGAGAGGAUGGGAAAUGAGGAAGGCGCUGAAAAGUCAGUGAGACUUGGAUGGACAAAGAAGAGGAGGGAGGGAAAAACCAGGAGGGAGGAUGCUGUGAGCAAAGCUGCAGAGUCAGGAUGUUCAAAGAGAGCUGAGGAAACAGCGGGUGGCUCCAGGGGGAGGUCUGUGCAAGAGCAGAGUGUGAAAGUGCUGGAAAUCUGGUCAGAUGGAGGACUGUAUUUGAAAAGCAAUGGGAGCCAUGGAAGGUCCCUGAGAGGGCGUCUUCUUCUCCCUGCCCAGGUCAGGGCUCUGCUUUCCUCUGCAAAGCAAGAGGAGGAGGAAACAUUUAGAAACGAAACCAAGAAAGCUGUGUGUGUACAGCUAACAGGGCUUUUACUUUUUGCUACACAGAACUGUAGCGACAAGACUUGAAUGAGGGGUCAUUCAAGAACUAGUAGGAAAACCACUUUAGGUGUCAUUGAGGGUGAGAGUUAAAAGGGGCCUCUGGGACCGUCUAGCAAGAUCUUAUGUUGUCAUUUCACAGUCGAGUGGAUGAGGUCCAAAGAGUUGAAGUGAUCUCCCUGAGACUGCGGCCGAGCUCAGCUUCACACUCCUCCCCAAGAAUUUUCCAGAAACUUUUCACCUGGGCUCCAGAGGUCCCCAGAGCCUUGCGUGCGCAGUGUACUGGGGGCCUCCCUGCUCACCCAGCCGCUCCUGCUCUGCUGUCUAUGGUUGUCAAUGGCUUGUGAGGUGAUAGCCUUGCUGGGGUGUUAGUCUGCCUGUAAAUGAAGGGCCUCAGCCGACAGAGCUUGACUUCUUCAGAAGGCUAUUAAGGAGGCAAGGCUCACGGAGCCAGGGAUUCAGCCACGUAUGGCUACAGGUUGGGGCAGGGAAGCGAGGAAGGAAUGAACUCAGAAAGAUGCAAGUCUCCGAUACAUUGGCUACCCCGACUCCGGGUGCAGAAGUGGGGCAGAGGCUAUAAUUGAACCCUUCCUUGCUUGUAAAAUAAUAAUUUCAAGACUUACUGGAACAUCUGUAAAAAUCUCCAAAGUUUGAUCCCCGAUGGGGUAGGUGAGCCCAGGGAGAAGCAGAGAAUGAAUGCGAAAAAUGAAUUUACUGAGGGAACUAGCAGUUGUCAGUAAAUAUUGAUGCAGUGUGGACUUUAGAGAUAAAAUGAGCAGCCAUUACUGACUUCUGGCAAAUUCGGAUAAGACAUGAACACCCACAACCCCCAAGACACCCUGUUGGGGAAAGUGAUCACGGACUCUGGCUUCCAUAGUUCAGCUUUCACAAUCAUAGAUAAGAAAAUACUCCUCUUCACCACUGCAAGAAUUUACUAAGUACCCCUUUGCAUAUGUCAUUUUACAGAAUGAACUGCUUGUACUUAGUAUGUUUUCAGUAAAUAUUUGAUAGGAGUGAGAGAAAGGGGAGUCCCUCAGAACUGAUCAUUCAAUUGAAUACAUUCAGAGAACAUUUUCAAUCUGAACGUCCCUCACAACAGACAUUUUAACAGCAAUUCAGGGGAGGGGGAAAGAUUCAGCUUUUGUGGGGUCUGAAGUUUAUACAGUUUUAAGAGUCCCCUUUAGGGAAAAAAACUACAAAAUCAUGAAAAUAAGAAUGCCUGUAAUCACUUUGAUGCAUCUGACAGAAGAGAAAUGUGACAGAAAGGAGACAGAGUGGAAAGAGACAGUGGUCUUGACUGAUUGCAGUGAAUAUAUUUUACUUUUGCAAAAUUUAUGAAAUUUUGCAAAAACUUAUGAACCCAUUACUAAGGUCUCUCACAAGAGCCUGUGCAAGUGAGAGAAGUGAGCUUGAAGAUUAUGCUUCGUUGGCUUCACAGGAAGUCUUCCCUACAACUACCAUAGGCCAAACCAAUCAGCAGAACCAUCUAAACUGCAGCGUCCACAAGGGGGAAACAGUGCAUGUUGUAGGGCACAAUCAACGCAGGACAGUGACAGCGUGAUGGAGGAUUGACAGAUUGGCCCCAAAUGUCCGCUGGCCAAGACCAAGACUAAACAGGACACUGACUACGCUUGCCUUGACCUAGUGGUGAAAUAGUAUACAGAGCAUGGAGAAAUAGCAUUGCACAGUAUCAGGGCUGUGCAGGGUGGCAUUAAAUAAUGUAGAUAUAGUAUUACAUUUCAUCUGCAUAGUCCCAUGAGGGGCAUUUUAUUAUGAUCUUGAAUUUUCAAAUGAGGGGGCUGAGAUAAAGAAAGGUUGAUUUGCUUAACUGGGAGGGCCCACAGCUAGGCUUUUUUUUUUUUUACCCACAAGCCUUACUGCCUCUCACACUUCACUGCCUAGUCAAGUCAAGUUGAUGUAUGGACUACAGUUAAACAGAGUUGGUAACAAGGUCACCUGCCUGAAGUUUACCUACUUGUAUGAGGCUUAUUCUCUGAGCUUUCCAAUGCUAUAGUAAAGUAUUCCUUGAAAUAGUUACCAGAGUCAGAUCUGAUGUGCUAUGGCUAUUCCAACUAUCAUAGAUACAUAACAUUACUAUUUUUCAAGUGUAAAAUCAGAAGGCUGUGUAUAUUAACAAAUGCCAGAGGAACAAAAUGUGUUUGGUGUCCUGUAUGACAAAUAUCUGGAACUGUUAUGAGGAAAAGCAGAAUUUUUCUCCCAAUAAAGAAAGUUUUUUUAUUUC